AGAGUUUGAUCCUGGCUCAGGAUGAACGCUGGCGGCGUGCCUAAUACAUGCAAGUCGAACGAGGUGCUUUUGUAGCAAUACGAGAGUAUCCUAGUGGCGAACGGGUGAGUAACGCGUUGGUGACCUACCCCAAAGUGCGGGAUAACAGUCCGAAAGGAUUGCUAAUACCGCAUGUGGUUCUUGGAUUUAGAAACCGAGCUCUAAAGGAGCAAUCCGCUUUGGGAGGGACCUGCGUCCCAUCAGCUAGUUGGUGAGGUAACGGCCCACCAAGGCUACGACGGGUAGGGGACCUGAGAGGGUGGCCCCCCACAAUGGAACUGAAACACGGUCCAUACACCUACGGGUGGCAGCAGUAGGGAAUAUUGGGCAAUGGGCGAAAGCCUGACCCAGCAACGCCGCGUGUGUGAUGAAGGCCUUCGGGUCGUAAAGCACUUUUCUGGGAGAUGAGAAAGGACAGUAUCCCAGGAAUAAGUCUCGGCUAACUACGUGCCAGCAGCCGCGGUAAAACGUAGGAGGCGAGCGUUAUCCGGAUUCACUGGGCGUAAAGCGCGUGCAGGUGGCGCGGUAAGUUGGGUGUGAAAUCUCCCGGCUCAACUGGGAGAGGUCAUUCAAUACUACCGUGCUUGAGAGCAGAAGAGGAAGAUGGAAUUCCCGGUGUAGUGGUGAAAUGCGUAGAUAUCGGGAGGAACACCAGUGGCGAAGGCGAUCUUCUGGUCUGUUUCUGACACUCAGACGCGACAGCUAGGGUAGUAAACGGGAUUAGAGACCCCGGUAAUCCUAGCCGUAAACGAUGUGAACA
rnacentral:rRNA from 1 species